rnacentral:lncRNA from 1 species
CACAAGCGAUCACGUUUUACUCUUAUAGAGUGCCUUUAAUUCUUCUUCCAUAGUCAAUCUCCAUUCGGGUGAUAGUAGAGCCUUUUUUAUAGUUUUUUAUUUUUCCAUACUUGCUUGGGCAAUAUAAAGAUCGGCCAAAGCUCUAUAGUUCACCCGUUGGAUAUUCCUCAAAUUCCUGGGUCGUGCCGGACGAAUAGAGGUACUUGAUGACACUGUCGGUGAAAUUUGUGUGACAAUCUCAGUUGAUGGAGUUGCCGGUAAGGAUUGUGAUGACGUUACCGGUGAAGAUAUCAACUCUUGAGAUGAUUGUUGUAAUUUUUCAUCUACGCCCGGACUCGGAAUUUGAUGCAGCCUUGAUGAUGAAUUCUGGAUUUCUUUAAUAUGGGAAAUUGAUUCAGAAUGAGCAGAUUUAUCAAAUUGGGCCGGACUGUAUUGUUCAAGUGAUGGUAGCCAAAUUGAGACACUUGAAUUUUGGACCUGAGAAGCAACUUUUGAAAAGAAAGGUUUUCC